rnacentral:lncRNA from 1 species
GCUAAAACGUCGAUAGGAGCAGCGCAGAACCCAAGUGGAACUUCAGAGAGCCAAGGGUCCUGAAGAAUGUUUGUGCUGCAGCCAUUGCCGAUUUACCAUCUUAGAGCAUGCUCCACCCCUUUUGAAGCUUCAUAGAUAUAUCGCUUUCCACAAGGUCGAUGCACCUCUACGAGGGGUGUAUAGUUUGAUCGGCUCUCAAAAUUGUAUUUAAAGGAUACCACUUGGGCCCAUAAAGAGUGGCUAUUUAUAAGCACUAAGUUGGCAGCUGCCCCAUGAACGCUUGCUUCUGGAUCGAUAGAGUGUGGAGGCCCAGGACACCCAAUCUUUCAAACGUGCAAAUGGUCUCCCAAGCAACCAAGUGCAAUCGUCAGAUGCCUGCCUUAUGUGUUGGGAUCUUCUUUGAACUUUCCUUGGAGCGUGGCGAUCUUGGAACCAGCAAUAAGGGCUGUGGAGGCAUUGAAACACAAGAGAGUUGCUGCCACUACAGUAAAAAGGAUGAUUGGCGAUUAUUUUUUGCCGACGCUUUUUCAAGCGUCGGCAGGUUGCGCUGACAUGCCGACGUUUUUAAAAAGCGUCGUGGGUCAACGACGCUUAAAAGCGUCGUAAAAUUUCAUCAUUUUCAUUGCCGAUGCUUUUAGCAAAAACGUCGUUAAAUAAAAAAAAUGGC